CCCGCAGGCAGUGCCUGCCGCACACCCCCGUUCCCGCACCGUGUGCACCCCUCUGCCUCUCCCCAGCCUCUAGUACUCGAGUUCCUGGGGCUGAGGAUCGCCUGGGAAAGAUGUGUGGCUGGGAAAGGAGUGGGAAUUCACCCCGAGCAGGAGCCGCCGGCCUAAGGAGCACAUGCACAGUAGGCAGAGCGUAGGAGCCCGGCCCCUGAGUGCUGUUCCAGCCAGACGGUCCCCAGAAAUGCACGUGUGCUUACUGAGGCAUCUAUCAUGGCAUUUAAUCAGGCUGAGAUGUGAGCUGAGACCUCUCGGAGUGCUAGUCUGGGCUGGCUAAUGAGCUGUUUGACCUUAAAUGGUGUCCCAGUCAGACUGAUGUGGAAGUACAAGGCCGCAGAAUUCAUCAGUGCUGAUUACUUCAUGGUAUGUUUUGUUUCUUGGCAAUGAAGACAAAUUGCCUUUUCCAAAACUGGGUCCAUGUCAACAAUUUUGAAAACUGUAUUUGAAGAAGGCUUGUCAGAAUAAACCUCUGCAGAAAGCCCAGAUAAUGGCUGCACCAAUCCCAAGUUCUUGUAGGUGCUGUGAAGAAUGAAGCAAAGUAAGCACCUCUCUAGUCUGAGGAGUCAACAUGUAGAGGGAAAAGGGGAAAUGAAGCUGUUGGUGAAGAACUGCAGUAAUCAGAAAAGAACUGGACAUAGGCAAUUUUCUCAAAUAAAUAGUCUCACCACUACAAAAACACUCUGUGGUUGCAUUGAAGAAACAGCAGGAUGACUUGCAGGAGCUGUUGCUCAGGUGCUGACCUGAGGCUCUGGGUCUGGAUGGUCCAGGGGCAGCUCCCUUGAAGCUGAAUGUCUCCUGUGAGCUGCUUGUGAAAACGAUGCCAUCCCCAGCCUUCACCUGGGGAGCCAUAGGUUGUCUCAAACAGGACCAUUCCUGGCAUCUUUAGCUUAGCAGAGAAGCUGUGUGUGAGGCUGGACAUGAAUAAUAAACUACUCUUUCUCAUAAAUAUA